CCCUUAGAUGUUCUGGGCCGCACGCGCGCUACACUGAUGCAUUCAACGAGUUCCUACCUUGGCCGAGAGGCCUGGGCAAUCUUUUGAACUUGCAUCGUGAUAGGGAUAGAUUAUUGCAAUUAUUAAUCUUGAACGAGGAAUUCCCAGUAAACGCAGAUCAUCAAUCUGCAUUGAUUACGUCCCUGCCCUUUGUACACACCGCCCGUCGCACCUACCGAUUGAAUGGUCCGGUGAAGCCUCGGGAUUGUGGUUAGUUUCCUUCAUUGGAAGUUAGCCGCGAGAACUUGUCUAAACCUUAUCAUUUAGAGGAAGGUGAAGUCGUAACA
rnacentral:rRNA from 1 species